GCCAGCAGCCGCGGUAAUUCCAGCUCCAAUAGCGUAUAUUUAAGUUGUUGCAGUUAAAAAGCUCGUAGUUGGACCUUGGGCCGGGUCGGCCGGUCCGCCUCACGGCGAGCACCGACCUACUCGACCCUUCGGCCGGCAUCGCGGGCCUAGCCUUAAUUGGCCGGGUCGUGUUUUCGGCAUCGUUACUUUGAAGAAAUUAGA
rnacentral:ncRNA from 1 species